UCCUUGGUGGUCCAGUGGUUAGGACUUGGUGCUUUCACUGCCAAGGGCCUGGGUUCAAUCCCUGAUUGGGGAA
rnacentral:tRNA from 1 species